rnacentral:misc_RNA from 1 species
GAAAUGCGAUAAGUAAUGUGAAUUGCAGAAUUCAGUGAAUCAUCGAAUCUUUGAACGCACCUUGCGCUCCCUGGUAUUCCGGGGAGCAUGCCUGUUUGAGUGUCAUGGAAUUCUCAACCCUCAAUACUUUUUUGUAUUGAAGGCUUGGACUUGGAGGCUUUUGUGCUGGCUGCUCGUUCAGUCGGCUCCUCUGAAAUGCAUUAGCGUGAAUACUAUGGAUCGCUUCAGUGUGAUAAUUAUCUGCGCUGUGGUCGUGAAGUAUAUUACGUUUACGCUUCUAAUCGUCCUUCACUGGACAAUUAUAAACCCUGACUUCUGACCUCAAAUCAGGUAGGACUACCCGCUGAACUUAA